rnacentral:rRNA from 1 species
UGGGGAAUUUUGGACAAUGGGCGAAAGCCUGAUCCAGCCAUGCCGCGUGAGUGAAGAAGGCCUUCGGGUUGUAAAGCUCUUUUAGUCGGAAAGAAGGAGUCGCAAUGAAUAAUUGUGAUUUAUGACGGUACCGACAGAAAAAGCACCGGCUAACUACGUGCCAGCAGCCGCGGUAAUACGUAGGGUGCGAGCGUUAAUCGGAAUUACUGGGCGUAAAGGGUGCGCAGGCGGUUUUGCAAGUCAGAUGUGAAAGCCCCGGGCUUAACCUGGGAAUUGCGUUUGAAACUACAAGGCUAGAGUGCAGCAGAGGGGAGUGGAAUUCCAUGUGUAGCAGUGAAAUGCGUAGAGAUGUGGAAGAACACCGAUGGCGAAGGCAGCUCCCUGGGUUGACACUGACGCUCAUGCACGAAAGCGUGGGGAGCAAACA